UGGGGAAUAUUGGACAAUGGGCGAAAGCCUGAUCCAGCCAUGCCGCGUGUGUGAAGAAGGUCUUCGGAUUGUAAAGCACUUUAAGUUGGGAGGAAGGGCAGUAAGCUAAUACCUUGCUGUUUUGACGUUACCGACAGAAUAAGCACCGGCUAACUCUGUGCCAGCAGCCGCGGUAAUACAGAGGGUGCAAGCGUUAAUCGGAAUUACUGGGCGUAAAGCGCGCGUAGGUGGUUCGUUAAGUUGGAUGUGAAAUCCCCGGGCUCAACCUGGGAACUGCAUCCAAAACUGGCGAGAUAGAGUAGGGUAGAGGGUGGUGGAAUUUCCUGUGUAGCGGUGAAAUGCGUAGAUAUAGGAAGGAACACCAGUGGCGAAGGCGACCACCUGGACUGAUACUGACACUGAGGUGCGAAAGCGUGGGGAGCAAACAGG
rnacentral:rRNA from 1 species